AGCGAACGCUGGCGGCAGGCUUAACACAUGCAAGUCGAGCGGGCCCUUCGGGGUCAGCGGCGGACGGGUGAGUAACGCGUGGGAACGUGCCUUCUGGUUCGGAAUAACUCAGGGAAACUUGAGCUAAUACCGGAUACGCCCUUUUGGGGAAAGGUUUACUGCCGGAAGAUCGGCCCGCGUCUGAUUAGCUAGUUGGUGGGGUAACGGCCUACCAAGGCGACGAUCAGUAGCUGGUCUGAGAGGAUGAUCAGCCACACUGGGACUGAGACACGGCCCAGACUCCUACGGGAGGCAGCAGUGGGGAAUAUUGGACAAUGGGCGCAAGCCUGAUCCAGCCAUGCCGCGUGAGUGAUGAAGGCCUUAGGGUUGUAAAGCUCUUUUAUCCGGGACGAUAAUGACGGUACCGGAGGAAUAAGCCCCGGCUAACUUCG
rnacentral:rRNA from 1 species